CAAACCUUCAAGCCUAGCUUGGUGUUGGGUGACUGUCCCGCCUGCCGGCGCGGACUCGCCUCAAAUCCAUUGGCAGCGGACAUCGUAGCUAAUUGCGCAGCACAACGCGCCUGACGCUCCCUGUUCGGCUAUCCACGAGCAAAGUCUCACCA
rnacentral:misc_RNA from 1 species